rnacentral:lncRNA from 1 species
GGAGAAAAUAAAAUUAUGAUUUAGAAUUAUUAAAUUAUGUAAUAGGCUGCAAAAUUACGCGUAAAUUGGGAUACAAAUAUAUAACGAAAAAAUUGGUCAUGUAAAACCGAUACCACAUGUUUAAAAACAAAAAUAUUAAUCAAAACCCAUUUGAAAACUCGAAAAUCAUAAGUAAACUAUAAAAGCAAACAUAUAACCAAAUACGAAAUUUAAACAUUUGGAGGUGUUUUUUUAAUAAAACAAUCUAUGGAAAUAUAUGAAUAAAUACCUCAAAUUUUCCAAAUAUCAGAGCAGACGGCUGCCAAACAAAAAACACAACUAAAUUAGUACCCGAAAAACACCAAACCAGAAUUUUAAUAAAAGGAAAAAGUAGAAAUGAAAACAGUACAAAUGAAAACAAAUUGGUGGUGGAAAAAGAAAAGACUAAUACUAAUGAUUUGUGUUGUUUUAACUGAUUAUGUUCCAUCUUAGCUUAUGUAUGAUGAUGUAUUCAAAAAUUUUAUUACGCCGGAAGUAAUAUGUGUACGCAAGCUUUUUCGAUUAAAUUGAAGACUAAUUAUAAAGCUUUUGAUUGACAUAUUUAACGUAGUUGUGUUUUCUAGGGGUAUAUUCAUAGUCUUUACACUGCAUAUUAAAGAUGCAUACUUUAUGUACAGUGGUAAGCAGUCAAAAUUCAUCACUGCUGGACAAACAUAAAGAAUUAAUAUAAAAUAAUUAGUAAUUAAGAUUAUAGUCAAUCAAAUUUAAGCUAAUAAUUAGAGCAGAAUAUAUAUUGUAUCUUUUAGAAGUUACAUGUACAGUCAUAAGUAUUACACUUACGAAUAAAUCAUUAAAAAAAACAAAUAAUGUUAUUUUCUUAAUAAAAAACUUUAGUAUUUAAUUUGGAUUUGAGAAAUAAAUUAGAUAAUCAACAUAGAGCUUAUUGGUAAUCAUUAAAAUUUUUUAUAACUUUUACAAGUAUAAACAUGUAUCCGAUAAUAGAUAAAAGUCAAAAUGGUGGGAUUGAGACAAAUAUUCCACAUAGAAAUUGUUAAUAAUAAAACUUGAAUACGAUAAUGCCAGUUCAAUGUCGUUACCUUUGUCAACUGAACCAAUGCAUUUGUAUUUGGCAAUGUAUGUAUUAUAAAAUAUUGAAUAAAACAACAUUCAGACGAACACAGAAAGCAAACAGAACAUUGCAAAUUAAAACAGUAGCAAUGAAAAAUACUUGUAACAGCAAAAUAUUAUGAAUUAAUAAAUUAUACCCUAAACUACACAUCAAAAUAAAUUCACUAAAAAGACAGUAGCAGAUGAUUCCACCGACAACAGUGAAAUCUACACAUUUAGUCCAAACCCUUAACAGUAAACGACGCAGAAAAUAGAAAAGGAAGCAAUAAAAUAAAAUCACCCGACAGUAGCAAUGAAGCAAUGGAAUGAAAUGCCAGUUUAUGAGUUCUGUACCUACUGAACGAUGCAGAAAACAGAAAAGGAAGCAAUGAUUUCCAAGGGAUGAAACCCUAAACACAAACAAAAUAAAACCAGUUCCUAACCAAUGAAACCAUUCACAAAAUAAAUUCACAGUCCAAGCAUUACAUUACCUUCAGGACGAUGAACAAAAAUUGAAGAGGAAGACCGAAAACCCUAUAAACAGAGAAUACACUUUUUUUAAUUUCAGGAUCAACAAACAAUAACAAACCAAAAAUAAAAUUAACAAAGCAUUUGCACAACCCAAUGUAUACAGAGGCAGAAUGGGGAAAGUGAACCUGGAAUACUUAUUCCCCCGACCACCGAUUCCGAUGAUGCUCUUCGACGUUCUCUGUCAACUGUGUGUGUUUACCGAAUGUACGAACCGGAUAUUUUGUUGUUUUGCAAGAAAUGGAAACACCCAAGCAAUGAAAUUUGAAAGAGAUGAAGAAUUGAUUUUUAGAAAUGGGAGAUAGCAAAAACACUGAAACGAGUUAGGGAUUUCAGUGCUUAGGGAUUUUAGAACAGAAAAAAUGGAAUUGGGGUUGG